rnacentral:rRNA from 1 species
UACGGGGGGCGCAAGCGUUGUUCGGAUUUACUGGGCGUAAAGGGCGCGUAGGCGGCACCGCAAGUCUGCUGUGAAAUCUCCGGGCUUAACCCGGAAAGGUCAGCCGAUACUGCGGGGCUAGAGUGCAGAAGGGGCAACUGGAAUUCUCGGUGUAGCGGUGAAAUGCGUAGAUAUCGAGAGGAACACCUGCGGCGAAGGCGGGUUGCUGGGCUGACACUGACGCUGAUGCGCGAAAGCUAGGGGAGCGAACGGG